UACGUAGGGGGCAAGCGUUGUCCGGAUUUAUUGGGCGUAAAGAGCUCGUAGGCGGCUUAGUAAGUCGGGUGUGAAACCCCCGGGCUCAACCCGGGGACGCCACCCGAUACUGCUGUGGCUUGAGUCCGGUAGGGGAGCGUGGAAUUCCUGGUGUAGCGGUGAAAUGCGCAGAUAUCAGGAGGAACACCAGCGGCGAAGGCGGCGCUCUGGGCCGGAACUGACGCUGAGGAGCGAAAGCGUGGGGAGCGAACAGG
rnacentral:rRNA from 1 species